CUUGGCUUGGCCACCCCUCCCUUUUCCCCCUUGGCUGGCCGCCCCUCUCCUCCCAUUGCAGCCGCCCUCCAUUGCUUCCUCCUCCCUAGAUCUUCCCCUACGCAACAAGGAUCGAGAAGAGGAGGAGCACGUUGAAUUGAAGAGGAAGAGAGGAUCAAGGAGAUGUUCUACCCCAUCUCUUCUUGCAGAUCUUCUUGGGGGAACACUAGGUAAGGAUGAGAUCCUUGUUCCUCCCUGUAAUUAUGCGCUUUUGUAGGUUGUGGAUCAUGGGGAUUAAAGGAUUAGAGGUUGGAUUGGAUGUGGGGUUAGGUUUUGAUCUCAAAUUUAGUUUCUGCAGAAUGGCAGAUUCGACAAUUUCUGUUCAUGGCAGUUUUCCGUGGUUUUAGUGGCCUCAAAAAAAUAAAAAGUCUAUCUAUGAGUUGUAGACAAUUUGUAAAUCAUUCCGAGGCCGUGAAGAACACCUCAAUCGAACAUCAGAUCAGAAAGUUAUUGCAGUUUGAUUAUAGUAGUUUUUCAGUCUCAUAAUUCUGUGCAGAAUCUGUUCUCUUAAGUUUUAGGCAAUUUUAUCAACAGAAUUAAACUUUAGAAUGGUAAACGAAGUUGUAGAUAAUUUCAUAAGCUUUCCAAAUUGUUAAAGAGUGCAUUCAUAUGAAUUAUGAAACUCCAGUUAUGUUUGUUUUACUGUGGUUGUUCCUGUUUGCCUGACAAAAAUGAGCGGGUCUAUUCACUGGUGGGUUUCAUCGAGUAAAUUACCGAAUUGGCUAUUCCAACUAUGGAGACUUUUGUAUAGGGAUAAAAGUUCUUACUGCCACCAGAAUUGCAUAAUUUUUUGUAGAGUAGUUUGGGAGAUAUCAAAUUUUGAAGUUAACUAUGCUGCUGUGUGAAACAGAUUCAGUCAGUUAUCUUGUCAGAUAUUUUAGAACUUAUAGAUGGCAGAUUUAAUUAUCCAUUGAAUAUCGAAGUUGUAGAGUACUUUGUGUAGAUACUCCUAGAGUCUUUGUUUUAUAUCACCACUGUUAUAAUUUUAAAGAUACAAAAUUAAUAAACAGCGUUGCUGCUGUUUGGCAUGUGGUUCAGGGUGGGAGUCUUUCCACCGGGUCUUGGUUUCAAGUGUAGGAGCGAUUUGUUGAUUGUUGGCAAAUGUUUGUGAAAUAUUUGUACUAAGUUUAUGCCCGCUAGCAGGUGGCUACACUCCGGAUCAUGCCUAGUACACUUUUCUUCUUCGAUGAAGGCAAGUGAAUGUAGCGGUGGUUGCUACCGUUUUGACUUGUUUUUUUAUCGCCUACACUCUAAUAUUUAGAAUUAUGGAAUUCUUUCAUAAUUGAACUCUAUGGUGAUGCUUUACUUGCUUGUAUUAUACUGAUGCUCAAUCAUAUAUUGAUGAUGAUUACGAUUCGAGUAUGACCCAUGAGAUUAAUUCACACCCCUGAAGGUAAAUAAAGUAUUAUUUGAGGUUUGUAUUGUAUCUGAAGGUAAACGAAGUAUUAUUUGAGGUUUAUAUUGUAUCUGAAGGUAAAUGAAGUAUUAUUUGAGGUUUGUAUUGUAUCUGAAGGUAAACAAAGUAUUAUUUGAGGUUUAUAUUGUAUCUGAAGGUAAACGAAGUAUUAUUUGAGGUUUGUAUUGUAUGUGAAGGAAGUGAAGUAUAUUGAUAAAUGUAGCAUGCCAUAUACAUUGCAUGAUUCACUUGCAUCUGAAAUUUUGUCGUGACCUAUGGUCUGACCGUACCAGUACAACUUAGCAUCGUACGUUGCCCGAGGAGGGGUACGAUGCGGCUUCAUACCCUUAGAGGUAUGAAGGCAGAGGACAUAUGCAUUGCAUUCAUAUGCAUUCAUUGAAGUGAUAUUUGCAGAUGAUGUGGUUUUAUACUCUCAGAGGUAUGUAGGCAGAGGACCUACACAUUGCAUUCCUAUGCAUACAUUGAAGUGAUAUUUGCAAGUAUUGUUGACGCAGGGAAGUGUUAUACAACCUAUUUUGGUUGUUCGAGGAAAUGAGAUGGUAUUGGUUAUAUUGGGACUAUUGAGUUCUAUAUCUACACAUAUUUCUGAUCUUAAUUGUGAUUUCUUUAAAAUGUUGAUUAAUUCAAUUUGUGGUUUAAAUAUCUCGUCAAAAUAAUUUUCUUGCUGAGAUGUUUCAUCUCACUCUUGCAUUACUCAAUGCAGGUUCUUGAUGCUCAUCAAGGGGAGUGGGAAGUAGCGGCAUGUUACACAAACUGUUUAAAGAACAAAAUAAUUAGCUUUGGUUAUUGACUUUUGAGGUUCAUAUUUUGAAAUAUGAUGUAGGCAUAAGCUGGUUCAUUCGUGGUUAAUCGUCUGUGAUGAG
rnacentral:lncRNA from 1 species